rnacentral:lncRNA from 1 species
UCCAGCCAAUUUCCCAAGGGCGGGAAUGGCCUAUUUGACCCCAUCAAAAGCGUCUUCAGUAAAUAGAAAAUAAGAUGCAUGAUGGAGCCUCAUGACAAUUAGAGGACAAGAAAGGUAAGAGGUGAGGGC